GGUUUAAUUCGAAGCAACGCGAAGAACCUUACCAGGCCUUGACAUGCAGAGAACUUUCCAGAGAUGGAUUGGUGCCUUCGGGAACUCUGACACAGGUGCUGCAUGGCUGUCGUCAGCUCGUGUCGUGAGAUGUUGGGUUAAGUCCCACAACGAGCGCAACCCCUAUUGCUAGUUACCAUCAUUAAGUUGGGGACUCUAGCGAGACUGCCAGUGAUAAACUGGAGGAAGGUGGGGAUGACGUCAAAUCAUCAUGCCCCUUAUGACCUGGGCUACAAACGUGAUACAAUGGCUGGAACAAAGGGAUGCGAAGCAGUGAUGUGGAGCGAAACCCAUAAAAACAGUCUCAGUUCGGAUUGAAGUCUGCAACUCGACUUCAUGAAGUCGGAAUCGCUAGUAAUCGCGGAUCAGAACGCCGCGGUGAAUACGUUCUCGGGGUUU
rnacentral:rRNA from 1 species